GGCCAAGUGAGCUUUUCUCACCACUUGGCGUCCGUCGUCCGUCGUCGUCGUCCAUCGUCGUCGUCGUUAACAAUUUACAUUUUGAACUUCUUCUAGAGAACCACUGAAUGGAAUGGAACCAAACAUGGCAUGAAUGUUCCUUAUGAGGUGCUGACCAAGUGUUGUUACUUUGUAGCCGAUCCAUCAUCCAAGAUGGCCGCCAGCGGGGGACUUAGUUUAACAUAGGACCCUAUGGGAAAUGCAUACAAAUGACUUCUUUUAGAGAACCACUGAAUGGAAUGAAACCAAACAUGGCAUGAAUGUUCCUUAUGAGGUACUGACCAAGUGUUGUUACUUUGUUGCCGAUCCAUCAUCCAAGAUGGCUGCUAGCCGGGGACUUAGUUUAACAUAGGACCCUAUGGGAAAUGCAUACAAAUGACUUCUUUUAGAGAACCACUAAAUGGAAUAAAACCAAACAUAGCAUGAAUGUUCCUUAUGGGGUGCUGACCAAGUGUUGUUACUUUGUAGCCGAUCCAUCAUCCAAGAUGGCCGCCAGCAGGGGACUUAGUUUAACAUAGGACCCUAUGGGAAAUGCAUACAAAUGACUUCUUUUAGAGAACCACUGAAUUGAAUGAAACCAAACAUGGCAUGAAUGUUCCUUAUGAGGUGCUGACCAAGUCUUGUUACUUUGUUGCCGAUCCAUCAUCCAAGAUGGCCGCCAGCGGGGGACUUAGUUUAACAUAGGACCCUAUGGGAAAUGCAUACAAAUGACUUCCUCUAGAGAACCACUGAAUGGAAUGAAACCAAACAUGGCAUGAAUGUUCCUUAUGAGGUGCUGACCAAGUGUUGUUACUUUGUAGCCGAUCCAUCAUCCAAGAUGGCCGCCAGCCGGGAACUUAGUUUAACAUUAUGACCCUAUGGGAAAUGCAUACAAAAGACUUCUUUUAGAGAACCACUGAAUGGAAUAAAACCAAACAUAGCAUGAAUGUUCCUUAUGGGGUGCUGACCAAGUGUUGUUACUUUGUAGCCGAUCCAUCAUCCAAGAAUGGCCGCCAGCGGGGGACUUAGUUUAACAUAGGACCCUAAGGGAAAUGCAUACAAAUGACUUCUUCUAGAGAACCACUAAAUGGAAUGAAACCAAACAUAGCAUGAAUGUUCCUUAUGGAGUGCUGACCAAGUGUUGUUACUUUGUAGCCGAUCCAUCAUCCAAGAUGGCCGCCAGCGGGGGACUUAGUUUAACAUAGGACCCUAUGGGAAAUGCAUACAAAUGACUUCUUCUAGAGAACCACUAAAUGGAAUGAAACCAAACAUAGCAUGAAUGUUCCUUAUGCCGUGCUGACCAUGUUUUGUUUCUUUGUAGCCCAUCCAUCAUCCAAGAUGGCCGCCAGCAUGGGACUUCGUUUAACAUAGGACCCUUUGGGAAAUGCAUACAAAUGACUUCUUUUAGAGAACCACUGAAUGGAAUGAAAUCAAACAUGGCAUGAAUGUUCCUAAUGUGGUGCUGACCAAGUGUUGUUACUUUGUAGCCGAUCCAUUAUCCAAGAUGGCCGCCAGCAGGGACUUAGUUUAACAUAGGACCCUAUUGGAAAUGCAUACAAAUGACUUCUUUUAGAGAACCACUGAAUGGAAUAAAACUAAACAUUGCAUGAAUGUUCCUUAUGAGGUGCUGACCAAGUGUUGUUACUUUGUAGCAGAUCCAUCAUUCAAGAUGGCCGCCAGCAGGGGACUUAGUUUAACAUAGGACCCUAUGGGAAAUGCAUACAAAUGACUUCUUUUUAGAGAACCACUGAAUGGAAUAAAACUAAACAUUGCAUGAAUGUUCCUUAUGAGGUGCUGACCAAGUGUUGUUACUUUGUAGCCGAACCGCCAUCCAAGAUGGCCGCCAGUGGGGGACUUUUGAAUGAAAUUAAACAUGUUCCUUUCCUUAUCAAUGAGGUUGUGUUGUCACUUUUAG
rnacentral:lncRNA from 1 species